UAAGGAAAAAGUACUGAAUCGGCCGUGCCGUUGAUUCUCCGCUGUUCUAGUUUUAUUUUACAUCUCAACUCUUCCACGAACAACAGUUUGGCCUGUUUUUGACUUUGAAUGACUUUAUAAAUUGUUCUUAAUUUUUGUUAGAAAAUAUAGCAUUGAUAUGGCUGGUGGCAGUGAAGUUAGUGAUGCCCAAUUCAAAGGAUGGCAGAAGCACUUCAAUACCUAUACCAUUCGUGGAAGAUCUAAUAUAACAUUUGCUACCUACUCGGCUUUAGCACUCUAUGGAAUUUACAGGUUUUUAAAACCAAAGAAGAAAUCUGCUUAAUAAAAAGCAAACAAUUAUUCAUUAAUGAAGAGAUAUUCAUAGAAAAUGUUGUCUUCUGUGGUGUAAUAGAAUAAAAAACACUUGUUUGAGAUCGUUUUUUCAGAAUGUAAUUGUAAACACUUUUGUUUUGUUGAAAUUAUUAAAAGCUUACUUAUUUGGUAA